UCAAAAAAUCUAAGAUAAUGUUUGCUAGGGUUGAAAAGAAAAAAUUAAAAUAAAUUAUUAUUCCUCGAAGAAUGCAGCUACGAGUACGUGUUAAUAAUAAAAAUGCAGCUGGCAUUCUGAAAAUAUUAAUAAGGAUGCAGCUGGCAUUCUGAAAAUAUUAAUAAGGAUGCAGCUAGCAUUCUUAAAACGCGUACGUGAGGCUUCUUCAUUUUAGAGGGUUUGUUUUGAUUUUUGCAGCAAAUAUCAGUUCACUACGACCGCCUGACCUUUGAAUUUCUGAGCAGAAGAUCAUUGAAGGACUAUCGUUUGUUUGUCUACACAGGCAACAUUGCAGGUAGCAAUUCACAAAAGUGUCAAAGCAUUUAUGGCAAGAGUCACAGCUUGAGUGAUGCUUCCCUUGCUUCUUUAUAUUGUGGAGGGUGUGAGCUGUUUAUGGAUUACUUGAUAGUCUUGUUUGGUUUUCAUACCAAUUUAAGAAAGAAAGUUGAAGAAUUUUGCUAAAAGCUUGAUUCAGCGCAAGUUUUGUCCACCUUGGUUCCUUAGUUCAUUCUGUACAGAUGAACACCUUCCAUUGAAUGUAUUGAGAGGUAGCAAUUCACAAGAGUGUCAAAGCAUUUAUGGCAAGAAUCACAGCUUGAGUGAUGCUUCCCUUGCUGCUUCUUUAUAUUGUGGAGGUGUGAGCUGUUUGUGAAUUACUUGAUAGUGUUCUUUGGUUUUCAUGGCAAUUGAAGAAAGAAAGUUGAAGAAUUUUGCUAAGCUUGAUUCAGCGCAAGUUUUGUCCACCUUGGUUCCUUAGUUCAUUCUGCACAGAUGAACGCCUUCCAUUGAAUGUAUUGAGAGGCCUAAUCUUAUUUCCAAAAUGCUCUAUCAAUAAUCUAGAUAGAUUGCUGCU